UACGUAGGGGGCUAGCGUUGUCCGGAUUUAUUGGGCGUAAAGAGCGUGUAGGCGGCCAGGUAGGUCUGCUGUGAAAACUCGAGGCUCAACCCCGAGACGUCGGCGGAAACCAUCUGGCUAGAGUCCGGAAGAGGAGAGUGGAAUUCCUGGUGUAGCGGUGAAAUGCGCAGAUAUCAGGAAGAACACCCGUGGCGAAGGCGGCUCUCUGGGACGGUACUGACGCUGAGACGCGAAAGCGUGGGGAGCGAACAGG
rnacentral:rRNA from 1 species